GGCGGCCUGGAGUAUCUUCCCGUCUCACACGCAAGUGGAAGUGAACCGGAGCGAAACAGAGCCAUUGUACGUCGCUCAGUUUUGAAAAUGUUCAAACGGACAUAUUGUUCGGUUUUCACACUUUGUUUGUAUUGCCUAUAAGUUCGUAAUUUGUUUCCGUUCUGUGAGUUAUGUCUAUCAUUAAAAACUUCCUCGUGCCAUUCCGUGUUAUCUAAUACAGUUAAUUUUUCGCUAAUUGUACGCAUUACAGUUUUUGUAGAUACAGAUAAAUUGUACACAAGAUCUCUCACAUUUAGCAAAUCAACAGUUUUGUGCACUUGGAAAGCCCAGCCCUUUCUAUACCUUGAAGUCCAUUUUAGUAUUUUAUAACAGUUUCUAUGUUGAUCAGAGCGUAAAAGUCUACACAAAAGCCUAGAGUAGUUAAUUCGCUGUUUUGUAAAGCACGACGUCCAGCCCAUAUCGCCGCGUGACGCUAAAUUAGACGUUCGUUUUCCGACGGACAAAAAGAAUUUACAGGCCCGGUUCUGAAUUGUCGAUAUGGCACUAAACGCUUUAGUGCCCCAAAUACCACUACCAUAGAGAAGAACUGGCUCUACCAUUGAUGUAUACAGUUUAGUGUAAACCUUAUAUGUCAUUCCACCUAACAUAGACGCCUUUGUCAUUAAAGCUCCGAGGGCACGACUAGCCGCUUUUGAUAACUCCGUUACAUGUUUUUUAAAUGUCAAGUACUCGUCCAUCCAGACACCUAAGUAUUUGUAGGAUUCACAGUAAUCAAGGUUAUUGCCUGAACAAUUGAAAAUCCGAUCUGACCUUGCAAUUGAUUGAUUUCGGAAAUGUACGAUUUUGGUUUUGUUAAUGUUAAUUGAAAGUUUCCAUGUAGCGCACCAGUCCGAUACGACAUCUAGCAUUCGUUGUAAACUAUUUUCGUCGGGUGCGAUUAAGGCAAUAUCGUCCGCAUAUAAUAAAAUACUCAAAUGAAAAUCAUCAACCUUAACUCCACAGUUUAACGCAUUAAUGCGGUCCGCUAAGUCAUUUAUAUAAAGAGAAAACAAUGUCGGUGAAAGGAUACAUCCCUGUUUUACUCCGGCUUCAACGUUGAACCACUGGGUAAGGUCAUUAUUAACACGAACGGUACAAUUAACAUCAUCAUACAGUGACUGAAUUGCGAAUAAAAACUUUCCCCUAACUCCUGCACGUUGCAGUUUAUACCAUAAAAAGCUAUGCUCAACCGUAUCAAAGGCUUUUUUC
rnacentral:lncRNA from 1 species